rnacentral:rRNA from 1 species
AGAGUUUGAUCCUGGCUCAGGAUGAACGCUAGCGACAGGCUUAACACAUGCAAGUCGAGGGGCAGCAUGAUUUGUAGCAAUACAGAUUGAUGGCGACCGGCGCACGGGUGAGUAACGCGUAUGCAACUUACCUAUCAGAGGGGGAUAGCCCGGCGAAAGUCGGAUUAAUACCCCAUAAAACAGGGGUCCCGCAUGGGAAUAUUUGUUAAAGAUUCAUCGCUGAUAGAUAGGCAUGCGUUCCAUUAGGCAGUUGGCGGGGUAACGGCCCACCAAACCGACGAUGGAUAGGGGUUCUGAGAGGAAGGUCCCCCACAUUGGUACUGAGACACGGACCAAACUCCUACGGGAGGCAGCAGUGAGGAAUAUUGGUCAAUGGACGCAAGUCUGAACCAGCCAUGCCGCGUGCAGGAAGACGGCUCUAUGAGUUGUAAACUGCUUUUGUACGAGAGUAAACGCUCUUACGUGUAAGAGCCUGAAAGUAUCGUACGAAUAAGGAUCGGCUAACUCCGUGCCAGCAGCCGCGGUAAUACGGAGGAUCCAAGCGUUAUCCGGAUUUAUUGGGUUUAAAGGGUGCGUAGGCGGUUUGAUAAGUUAGAGGUGAAAUACCGGUGCUUAACACCGGAACUGCCUCUAAUACUGUUGAACUAGAGAGUAGUUGCGGUAGGCGGAAUGUAUGGUGUAGCGGUGAAAUGCUUAGAGAUCAUACAGAACACCGAUUGCGAAGGCAGCUUACCAAACUAUAUCUGACGUUGAGGCACGAAAGCGUGGGGAGCAAACAGGAUUAGAUACCCUGGUAGUCCACGCAGUAAACGAUGAUAACUCGCUGUCGGCGAUACACAGUCGGCGGCUAAGCGAAAGCGAUAAGUUAUCCACCUGGGGAGUACGUUCGCAAGAAUGAAACUCAAAGGAAUUGACGGGGGCCCGCACAAGCGGAGGAACAUGUG